rnacentral:rRNA from 1 species
GAGCUUGCUCCUCUGAUCAGUGGCGAACGGGUGAGUAACACGUGAGCAACCUGCCCCAGACUCUGGGAUAACAGUUGGAAACAGCUGCUAAUACCGGAUACGAGACGGAGAGGCAUCUCUACCGUCUGGAAAGUUUUUCGGUCUGGGAUGGACUCGCGGCCUAUCAGCUAGUUGGUGAGGUAAUGGCUCACCAAGGCGACGACGGGUAGCCGGCCUGAGAGGGCGACCGGCCACACUGGGACUGAGACACGGCCCAGACUCCUACGGGAGGCAGCAGUGGGGAAUAUUGCACAAUGGGCGAAAGCCUGAUGCAGCGACGCCGCGUGAGGGAUGACGGCCUUCGGGUUGUAAACCUCUUUCAGCAGGGAAGAAGCGAAAGUGACGGUACCUGCAGAAGAAGCACCGGCUAACUACGUGCCAGCAGCCGCGGUAAUACGUAGGGUGCGAGCGUUGUCCGGAAUUAUUGGGCGUAAAGAGCUUGUAGGCGGUUUGUCGCGUCUGCAGUGAAAAUCCGAGGCUCAACCUCGGACUUGCUGUGGGUACGGGCAGACUAGAGUAUGGUAGGGGAGACCGGAAUUCCUGGUGUAGCGGUGGAAUGCGCAGAUAUCAGGAGGAACACCGAUGGCGAAGGCAGGUCUCUGGGCCAUAACUGACGCUGAGAAGCGAAAGCAUGGGGAGCGAACAGGAUUAGAUACCCUGGUAGUCCAUGCCGUAAACGUUGGGCGCUAGGUGUGGGGCUCAUUCCACGAGCUCCGUGCCGCAGCUAACGCAUUAA